rnacentral:rRNA from 1 species
GUUGGGCCUGCUCGGUGAUAAGAAAAAUUUAACAGCUGCGGUAUUAUAACUGUACUAAGGUAGCAUAAUAAUUUGCCUUAUAAAUUAAGGCUAGAAUGAAUGGUUUGACGAAAAUUAGACUGUCUUUAUUUUAUUUGUUAGAAAUUAAUUUUUAUAGUGAAAAAGCUUAAAUAAUUUAAGGGGACGAGAAGACCCUAUUGAGCUUUAUUUAUUAAUAUUUAAAUAUAAAUAUAUAAUUUAUAUUAUGAAAAUUAUGUUGUGUAUAUAUAUAUUUAAUUGGAUUUAAUUUUGAUUGGGGUGAUCAAGGAAUAAAGAUAAAGUAACUUCCUUAAAAUUAAUGAUUGUUUUUAUGGAGUAAUAAACCAAGUUUUUUGCUUAUAAGAUAAGUUACCAUAGGGGUAACAGCGUAAUUUUUUUUGAGAGUUCAUAUUGAAAAAAGAGAUUGCGACCUCGAUGUUGGAUUAAAAAUUACCUUAAGG